GGCUGUAGCUCAGUGGCAGAGCACUUGCCUAGCAUGUGCAAGGCACUGGGUUCCAUCCUCAGCAUCA
rnacentral:tRNA from 1 species